ACCGGGCCCGCCGGGCCGAACCCGCGCCCUGGCCCCGCAGCCUCCGCGAGGACGGCAGGGGGCCCUGGGUUUCAGACCGUCCUACUCCGGCGGGUGUUGUGGAGGGUGCGGAUGGCGCUGCCCGAGCAGCGGGGGCCGCAGGGUGUUCGUCAGGGCAACGCCGGGCACUUUGAGGUUUUCUCCUAAGAUCUUGAACUUUGGUGUGAAAUCCUGGCUUUACUUCGGUCACUGAAAAUCAGUCCAGUUGACUUCAAAGAGAUUCAGAAACGGACAUCCGCUGACUGGAUCUGCCUAGGGUGAAGAAGAACACACAACACUUAAAUACAAAGCUUCUUCCUCUAAGUAACUACACUGUCAUGUAUCCCUAAGUUAUAUGCAGGGGAAGGCUCUGAAACCCUGUUUGAGAAGCUUCUUGCAUAGUAUUUAAAAUGUUAUGAACAUCUUUAUAAAUAUCAUUAUGAGGAAAAAUUGAUGAUUCUACUUCUGAACUCUGAUCCCAUCUCCCUUAAGGGAGCACAAACAGAGCUGGAGGAAAAAAGAUUGAGCGAAGUAACAGAAAAUGCAGCCUUUGUCUGUGACUGCCAUGGAAGACUAAGCUGUUUCGAAAGUAAAGCCAGACAACACAGCUUUAGCAGCCACUUCAUGACCUGGCAAAGCAUUAUGCUACUGAAAAACUUGUUUCUCCUUUGCUCUUUUACUCCAGGCUCUCACCCAGGAAAGAAAAGGGUGGAGUUCUUUUACUGGACUAAAGCAGACUCAGGAGACAGAGAGCAAAAAUGGGAAAGGUGUUUGAAAGCACAGGAGGAAAAGCAUCGAUGCUGUGAACAUAUGAACUUGGGCAGCUGCUGUUUCUCCACAGUCAGCAGUCUCUUGAAGGACAAGUCAGAG
rnacentral:lncRNA from 1 species